UGCCAGCCGCCGCGGUAAUACAGAGGGUGCAAGCGUUAAUCGGAAUUACUGGGCGUAAAGGGCGCGUAGGCGGCUAGACAAGUUGGGUGUGAAAUCCCCGGGCUCAACCUGGGAACUGCAUCCAAAACUGUCUGGCUAGAGUAAGGUAGAGGGAAGUGGAAUUUCCUGUGUAGCGGUGAAAUGCGUAGAUAUAGGAAGGAACAUCAGUUGCGAAGGCGGCUUACUGGACCAAUACUGACACUGAGGUGCGAAAGCGUGGGUAGCGAACAGGAUUAGAUA
rnacentral:rRNA from 1 species